UUUUGAUUUGGGAUCCGAGGUGGAGAGCGACGAUGAGAUUUGCGAGAUCUUUCGAUUUCUUUCCUGGUUGAUGGGCCUCGCUCUUGAUUUGUUUCUUUUGGUAGAAAUUUCUCUCUUUUGUUUGCAAUUGAGUGCGAACUGUGGGGGAAAAGAGGAAGGAUUGGAGAGGAUGGGUUAUUUGAGCACGAUUGGGGGAGAUGGAUCACCCGUUAGCGGAGGAGGACUCAGGAUAUAUUCUGAAUGUCCACAUCCUCCGCCCUUUCGCACCAACAAACAACAAAAAAAGUGAGAAUGGAAAGUUUAAUUAUGGAUAUGCAAGCUCUCCGGGAAAAAGAGCUUCAAUGGA